UUUUAGAUGAGUUUUCGAUGAUACCUGAAAACUUUUGAUGGGUUGAUCGGUCUAUCAGUUAGAGAUCUUCCUGGUUAGCUGAUGGAUUGCUCGGAAUUAUUGUUUUUGUUGCUGCUUGUUGGAAUAGGAGACUGGUAUAUGGUUGAGAGAGAUUUUGGUUUCUGGAACAAAUUUUCCGCAUGUAUUGUAGCUGAGCGUGGGGGCGCGUCCGAACUCCGAUUGAUGCGGGGUUAGCGGCGUUGGCUUCGUCUCGUCAAGAGCUUUAAUUUGGUAUCUGGCUCGUCGUCUGGAUCCACCGGAGUUGAGGGAUAGAGAUGUUUGAAGUUUGUCGGGAAUUAGGGUUUUUACUGCUCGGAUUUAUUUCUUGUUUUUAGGGUUAUGGUAUAUGAGAGCAACGUCGUACUGAUAACGUGUUGUAAAUGAAGUGUUGGGAAAAUACUUCUCUUAUCAUUACUGUCGACCAGAAGGUCCAUAUAUAUACAAGGCAUUAGACCGUCAUAAGGUCAUGUUUAUCCUAACAUGAUAAGGAUAAGGAUAAACACUAUG
rnacentral:lncRNA from 1 species